AUUGAACGCUGGCGGCAGGCUUAACACAUGCAAGUCGAGCGGAGACUUCGGUCUUAGCGGCGAACGGGUGAGGAAUGCCUGGGAAUCUGCCUGGUAGUGGGGGAUAACGUUCCGAAGGAACGCUAAUACCGCAUACGUCCUACGGGAGAAAGCAGGGGGACCUUCGGGCCUUGCGCUAUCAGAUGAGCCCAGGUCGGAUUAGCUAGUAGGUGAGGUAAAGGCUCACCUAGGCGACGAUCCGUAGCUGGUCUGAGAGGAUGAUCAGCCACACUGGAACUGAGACACGGUCCAGACUCCUAC
rnacentral:rRNA from 1 species